rnacentral:rRNA from 1 species
UACGGAGGGUGCAAGCGUUAUCCGGAUUCACUGGGUUUAAAGGGUGCGUAGGUGGGCAGGUAAGUCAGUGGUGAAAUCUCCGGGCUUAACCCGGAACUGCCGUUGAUACUAUUUGUCUUGAAUAUUGUGGAGGUAAGCGGAAUAUGUCAUGUAGCGGUGAAAUGCUUAGAUAUGACAUAGAACACCUAUUGCGAAGGCAGCUUACUACGCAUAUAUUGACGCUGAGGCACGAAAGCGUGGGGAUCAAACAGG